AGAUUGGAAGCUGCUUGAGGGCGGGGAUCACACCUUUUAUUUCUACCGCAAGUGCUCAAGAUCCCAAUCCAAAUGUGCCCACGAGCUAAGCCACUGGAAAGUAUUUUAAGAUGAUAUGACGUUGCCUUCUACCAUUGCAACCCUGAAGUAAUUGAUCUCGCUCACAGAGGACAGAAGCUCCCAGCUCUGACAACGAAAAGAGAAGAGGGACCAGCGAAGAUCGACUCUCAGAGUCCGGCAGUGAGGAACGGCCCAGUGGGGUGGAUUUUCAUUGCCCUCCAGGCUUUUCUGAAAUCAAUCACAGCUUCCACAGCCGGCCAAGACAAGGAUUUUGAUGGUUCCUUUCACACUAUACGGCCCCAAUAGCACUUCUAUAUUUCAGAGCCACUUUGGGUCACUGAAAUAAGGACAAGAUAAGCAAUUUUUCACCAACAGAGGAAGCUCGGGACAAAGAGACACAAGCUGUUCCGUUGCUCCUAGUCAAGACAUUUAACCUCAUUGUGCCUUGUUGGACCCUGUGGUACCUAGAUGUUUGGAACACUGUCCAACCAUCCACCCCUGAGCAGGAUGUAGGAGAUGAAGGAGUUUGCAAGGGGGGAACCAUCCUACUGUUUUGCGUUCAGCUGCCACAGAGAAAGCCCACACAUCAGUGACUCAACACUGACAUCCACUGUCCGACCGAGUAAUGCCUCCAGCCACUCACCAGAAGUCAGCCAGAUGAGCAGAGAUGAGCUCAAGCUCCAGAAUCUUGACAGGAGUACUGGUCAGAGGCAGCCGCCUGGUUUGGCAGGACUGCCAGAGACCAACACAAAAGACCUGUUAUGUGGGGGGACGAGUGCUGGAGACAUUUGAGUUAGAAGGAGUCCUGGUCACUGCAGAGAGUGGACAGUUAUCAGAUUUUUCAUCUAGUCCCUUGUCAGUUGGAAAUACUCCUAGAGCUGCUCAACGAAUUGGAACAUCCUAUAAUAACCGCUGCCCUAAGGGAUGUCAGAGAUCCUUAACAUUGAAUGUAAGACAAAACUGUUGCUAAAUGCUGGCUGUCUCUGGUCCAAAAGGGUUCCUGAAAUGCUGACGUUGUUAACAACAUGGAUAUCUCAUUUAUUGAAAACGAUGAUGGAGAAACAAAGGAACAGAAUGUGGAAGCAAUUUGGUGGCUGAAGUCAAACAGCGAGUCACCACUGGUGAAACCAGAAAUGCAAAUCCGGACUGCUGAACCCAUGUCUUGUCCUUGAACUCCAAGAAUGCAUUCCCAAAAACUGACCACUCCAUCCUUAAU